AGUCAGAGGACGUGGCCGCGGGGCUUGCUGGGACUUGAGGUUAGACGUCCCGGCCGUCGGUUGCCGCCUACACUGUCUGCCGUCGCGUCGCAGUUACUAAGGCGUGGGGAAGAUAGCGGCAGGCACCGCAGUGGAGCGGCUCCGAGAUCCCCGGGGGGCUCGCAGGCGCGCAUCCCUCCUGACUGGGACGUCGCCUCCGCAGACCCCUCGGAGGCUGAAGCGACGCCGGAGGCAGGCAAAGAAACAAGUGAAGAAACAAAAAAAAAAGGAAGUUAAGGGGCCAUUCUCAAAGUCAAAGAUCAAGCCAAGGACACUGGUUGGUGGUUCAGAAAGGUAACCUCAAGAAGAAGCCCAAGGGUUUGGUUGGAGCACAAGCUGAACGUCGGGAAAGCCUGAAGGCGACUUCUUUUGAGUUCAAGGGGAAGAAAGGGUCUCGGCGGGAAAAUCAGGUGGACCUUCCUGGACGUAUCCUGGACCAGGCUUUUCUGGCCAAGGAAAAUGACUUCAAGCAUUUUCAUUCUGUGAUUUAUAUCAAUGCCUCAGAAAACCUGCUGCCUCUAG
rnacentral:sRNA from 1 species